UCAUAUUUACUCUUCUCUGCUGCUAAGCUAGAAAAGUUGGAAAAGCCCUGAUUAUGGACUGUUGACUGCUAAAGGAAAAAUACGGAUGAAAUAGGACGACCUCAGGGUUUCAGAGAUUGGAAAAGUUCUAAAUAUCAUUUCUGGACUUGGCUCAAAACUCCAGCUGAAUUUCGAGUUCUGAAACUGAAAAACAAAUCCUAGAAAAACUUGAAUUUUUACAAAUUUAUUUCAGAGAUCUCCCUAGCCUUUGCAAAAGUCCUAUUUUCUGAUUUACCUGAUGGCCCUGAUUCGGCUACAGAUUAUUACAAGAAAGCCUUUCCUUUUUGUUCAAGACCCAAAGGAUAAUGGAUACUUUUUUCCCCUAACAAUUUAUUUUACAGGCUUAUCCUGAUUCAGUGAGAGAAGAAUACUCACACUUGAUAAGUACUUUGGACUUGAUGAUAAAUGCUAUGGUUAGGUAUUUUUUCCAUUGAAGUGUGCAAAACCCCAGAGAAUUGAUUGAUAGCUGUGGGACUGCAUUAUGUGAAGGAAGCUCCUCAUACCACGUCAGGGGUUUGCCUGAUGAAAUGGCUUGAUCAAACUGUUCAUGAGAUACCUGCAAUUCCAGUACCAAAGACCAUUUGGCCAAGGAGCGAUUCUUAACCUUUGUUAUAACUUUUGGAUGAAUAAUCUAAAGCCAGAGAGAUCAAGGGUACCGAAAUGAUAUCCUGUCCUCUACUCCUUCUCACCUCUCAAGGCAGGUUGCCACCAAUAUUCUGGAGAAAGAAAGAGAAAGAGAAUACAUUGAGGAAGGGGAAACUUCGGAAGCAUGUUUUUAAAGAAUGUCUUUUGGAUUGUUAAGAGUAUAAGAAAUAAAAAGAGGAGCCAGAGCCUCCAGGAAACGCCCUUGAGUAACUUGCGCACGUGGGACCUGUUCCCACCUAGGACCACAGGCUCAAAAGGGGGCCGGGUAGAUCUGACGGGAACCGAAGGAGCCAGUAGAUUUUCACGCUUGCAACAGACGGGCUAAGAGAACGCCGGGAUUCUGCCGAUAAGUCACGGAGUCAGAGCAGCCCAGCAGAGGCAGACGGACAACCUAUGCGGAGAAAUUGGAUGGACGGCUGGGACCACCUGCAGCUCCCGGGGGCGGGGGACGGAAUCCCCACCUACAGAGCAAUUUCACAAACCUGGAAGAAGGGAUUUACAUGUGCAGAUCUCAACAGAAGGACACAGGAAACAUGAAAAAGCAGGGAAAUGUGACACCUCCAAAGGAACCCAGUAAUUCUCCAGCAACCAAUCCCAAUCCAAAAGAAACCGAAGAUAUUUUGGAUAGAGAAUUGAACAUAGUGAUUACACAGCCAAUGGGCAGCAUGCAAGAGUUAUUUGGAAAAGAACAAAGGAAAAGAUGGAAUCAAUUAAAGGUCUGCAGGAACAAAUUACCCACCGCAAAAAUAUUUUUAAAAGGAACCUUCUGAAACUGAAGAAAUCACUGGAUGAAAUACCAAGUAAACUCAAGGCUUCAAUGACAGAAUAAAACUAGAAGAAAAAAUCUCCAAACUUCAAAUCUGAAGCAUAUUUCUUAAAGGUUUAAAGGGUUGUAUUGUGACCAUUAAUGUGAAUGAAACCUGCUGGGUUAAUUGUUACACUGAGGUCUUGGAUACUCAUUAAAGUGAAAUGAGAAUUAAAAAAUAUAUAUAAAGAAUAUACUAAACCCAAAAAUCACUCAAGCAUAUUUCAGUGUAUCACUGAAUUCAGACUAUGUCAGUGAACAAAUCUGAGAGCAUUUCAAUGAGUGAUUAUGUUAAAGAAUUACGCUCACAUUCUUGAAGACUCAUGAAUCUGGUAAGACUUCCAUCAGUCACCUUACAGUUAAGUUAGCAUGUGUUGUCGGUAGAUAUGAGAUCUGUGUAUACUCUUCCCCAAAGAUAAAUUCACAAAUUGCUGCCAGUAGAACUGCAAUGUUUGGAAUGCUUCUGUGAGGAGAUUCUGUCUAAAAAGACCUACCAUCUGAUGUUGCUACUGAAAAACAGAGACAAACCCAUCAAUGAAAGCCACCUCAAAUGCGGUGGAGGAUUUGUGACAGACUGUCAAUGCUGCCAAUCAUGUCUGUUCCAAAAUGACUUUUUUAAAAAGCACCAAGACAAUUUCCCCAUUGUAAAUACACACUAGUGGUGAGCAAAAAAGAUGGUGGUGAUAGAAAGGCAAGCUUUACCAGGAUAUUUAGAUAGAAGGAAAAAAAGAAAAAAGAAAAACAAAGAAAAGAGAAAUAUUACAUAUAAGCAGAGGGCUAAAUCCAGUGUAGCCCAUGUAAUUAAUUGUUGCUUGGGGUAGAAAAUAAAGGGACAGUAGAAACACCAAUGGAACAGGUCCCUAUAUCUCUUGUAUCUUCAAUUUGUUCCUAUCUUCAUAUUUAAAAGCCACAAUUUGGGCACGGUGACUGAUGCCUGUAGUUCCAGCUACCUGAAAGCCCAGGGCAGGACCAU